AUGCUGCUGACGCGCUCGGCGACCUGCGACGGGGCCGUCGGGGAGUGCGGCGUGGACGAGGACGAGGAGAUGGGGACGGGCGCCAACGGCACCGGCGAGGCCCUGCGCCGGUCGCUGGCGCGGAAGCCGACGGCCAGGUACAUCAGCUACGCCGCUCUGCGCGCCGACCAGGUCCCCUGCAACAAGCGCGACAAGUCCUACUACACCAACUGUGGCUCGAUGCAGCAGGCCAACCCCUACACGCGCGGCUGCUCCGCCAUCACGCGCUGCGCGCGCAACAUGAACUGA
rnacentral:rRNA from 1 species